rnacentral:rRNA from 1 species
AGUGAACGCUGGCGGUAGGCCUAACACAUGCAAGUCGAACGGCAGCACAGUAAGAGCUUGCUCUUACGGGUGGCGAGUGGCGGACGGGUGAGGAAUACAUCGGAAUCUACUUUUUCGUGGGGGAUAACGUAGGGAAACUUACGCUAAUACCGCAUACGACCUACGGGUGAAAGCAGGGGAUCUUCGGACCUUGCGCGAUUGAAUGAGCCGAUGUCGGAUUAGCUAGUUGGCGGGGUAAAGGCCCACCAAGGCGACGAUCCGUAGCUGGUCUGAGAGGAUGAUCAGCCACACUGGAACCGAGACACGGUCCAGACUCCUACGGGAGGGAGCAGUGGGGAAUAGUGGACAAUGGGCGGAAGCCUGAUCCAGCCAUACCGCGGGGGUGAAGAAGGCCUUCGGGUUGUAAAGCCCUUUUGUUGGGAAAGAAAAGCAGCAGGUUAAUACCCCGCUGUUCUGACGGUACCCAAAGAAUAAGCACCGGCUAACUUCGUG